GUUCUGAUCGUUUAGUGCACCU
rnacentral:miRNA from 1 species